rnacentral:antisense_RNA from 1 species
CUUGUGUAAGUCCCAGAGUGUGAAGGCCAGAGAACCAAGAGCUCCAAUGUCCCAGCUCAAGAAGAGAGAAAACUUUUGUGGAUAGCUAAGUUACUGCUGGCCAUCUGAUUAUAGCAAUGGCUUCCAGGAGCAUCACGACCUGUGCAGACUCACCAGCAUCAUAACAGGAGGGUCCCACGAUCAUGAGCACAUUGCCUUCAGCAUCUAGCACUGAAUAUGGUGAAUUGCACUCUGAAGAGCUUCCUAAGCUUAUAAGAAAGUGAUUCUGAAAAGCUCAACAUUUUGGUAGAAUGGAGAGAUUUGACAUUGCUUCUGCUCCAAAAGCAAAAGACUUGGUCAUCCUCUGGUUACCUAGCUUAGGUGACUUCAGCAAGAGAUGUCCAGAGUCUCAACACUGGGUGAUUGAAGAGCAGAAAGACUGGCAUGAAAUAUCUGUCAACAUAGCUCAACAAGGAAUCAGGAAGAGAGAGUCUUCAAGAUGGCUGACUAGAGGCAUCUGGUACUUGCCUCCUCCACAAAGAAGAACCAAAAUAGCAAGUACAUUAUUACACUUCAAAUAGAUCAUCUAAGAAAGAACACUGGAAUUCAACCAAGAAGUGGCAAUAAAUACCUAAGGCAAGGAA